GAUGAACGCUGGCGGCGUGCCUAAUACAUGCAAGUCGAGCGAACAGAUGAGGAGCUUGCUCCUCUGACGUUAGCGGCGGACGGGUGAGUAACACGUGGAUAACCUACCUAUAAGACUGGGAUAACUUCGGGAAACCGGAGCUAAUACCGGAUAAUAUAUUGAACCGCAUGGUUCAAUAGUGAAAGACGGUUUUGCUGUCACUUAUAGAUGGAUCCGCGCCGCAUUGGCUAGUUGGUAAGGUAACGGCUUACCAAGGCGACGAUGCGUAGCCGACCUGGGAGGGUGAUCGGCCACACUGGAACUGAGACACGGUCCAGACUCCUACGGGAGGCAGCAGUAGGGAAUCUUCCGCAAUGGGCGAAAGCCUGACGGAGCAACGCCGCGUGAGUGAUGAAGGUCUUCGGUUCGUAAAACUCUGUUAUUAGGGAAGAACAAAUGUGUAAGUAACUAUGCACGUCUUGACGGUACCUAAUCAGAAAGCCACGGCUAACUACGUG
rnacentral:rRNA from 1 species